UACAGAUCUUCUCCUUUUCAUAGAUUUAUGCUUUUCAGGCGUCUAUGACUGUGUUUUUGCAAGAAGAAAAAAAUACUGAAGCAAGAUGUCUAGUAUGAAGUAACCUAUGAAGAUAAAAUACAACCUUACUGAAAAGUGAGGAGCUCUAAAACAAAAUGUCUGCAGAAGAGGAUGGGAUCAUGUCAGGUGGGAGCUUACCUCGGCACCAAACUCCAAUCUCUUCUUCAGUGAGUUUAAAAAGUGACAGAUCCAAGGAUGAACCUUUAAGGUUUGACUAUGAAGAUAAACGUGAUUCUAAUGACAUCCAACCUGAAAUUCUGUUGCAGCUGACACAGGUGA